UGCGCUCCCGGCUACGGUGUCCGGCGAGGAGGCGGUGGCUUCCGGCCGUGGACGGCGUGGUAGCGGCUGAGGUGCUGCGAGUCCAGCGUCGCGUGCGUACACCCCACGGAUUGAUCCGCGGGUCGGAUCAAGUGGCGCCCAGCGUGGGGGCUCCUGGCACGGGAGAGUCAACGAGGGAGCCGUUCGAGAAAGCUGGCUAAAAGAGAAAGCAAAUUGAACCAAAGAUCGCGGCAAAAGGAAAAACAAACUAAAUCAAGGAUCAAAGCUAAAAGCAAAAGGACAUUAAAUUAAGGACCGAGGCCUGCACAGACAACUACCCGAUGUCCCGCCCGAGUCACGGUGAGUGAAUGGCAACCCCAUUCCCUUUCCCGGACAUGGGUCAAGCAUUGAACAAACACAAAUUGUUCGUGGGAGGCCUUAUAAAGGCAUUAAAGACAAGAGGGGUAAGGGUUAAAACAAAAGAAUUAUUGCAGUAUUUUCAAUUUAUUCAUAAGGUUUGCCCUUGGUUUCCCCUAGAGGGUUCUAUAGAUACCAAGAGGUGGAAAAGAGUAAGAGAUGCUUUAAAAGAUUAUUAUAGGGUUUUCGGUCUGGAAAAAGGUUCCGUUGACCACCUUUGCAUAUUGGAAUUUAAUGUCUGAGCUGCUUGCCCAGCGGCAUGCAGAUCCUCAGAUUGAGGAGACGGUCGCACAAGCCCUCUGAGCUACACAGCCUUACAGUGCCCCAAGAUGGCGCCUGCCUCGGCAGGCCUCAUAACACUCUUAAAAUGGCGCUUGCCUCACUUCCGCCACAUCAGCGUGGGUCCCUCCCAAAACUGUGUUUCCGGUGACGGAAACAAACGUACCUCCCCAAGAUGGCGCCGCACAGCCGCAAGAUGGCGUGAGCACCACACUGCUAGCUUCAUAAGUCAUUAGGACACAUACGCCAUUCACAGUGGCAGCUUUAAAAGAAUUAAAGACAGCGGUUGCCCAAUAUGGCCCUACAGCUGCUUUCAUUCUUACUGUUUUAAAUUCUCUGGCUGACGCUGGCUCACACCUACAGAUUGGCAAAGAUUGGCCCAGCCCGAGUGACUUUAUUGGGUGGUGCUAAUCUUUUGUAAAAAUCAGAAUAUACAAAAAAUUGCAAAGAGACCGCCAGGCACAAUUCACAGGCUGGCAAUGGGUGGGACCUUAAUAUUUUAAUAGUGGAAGAUGCCUAUGCAUGCAGAAAGGCUCAAAAAGAGUUUAAUCCAACACUUUUUGCUCAAAUUCAAACAGCAGCUACUUGAGCAUGGAGAAAGCUGCCUACAAAAGAUAAUAUGAGCUCCUCUCUCACUAGCAUUAAGCAAGGCUCAGAUAAACCCUUUUCAGAGUUUGUUGAUUGUUUGAUUGCUGCUGCUACCGGAGUCUUUGGCCGUGCUGAUGCAGGCACUGAUUUUGUUGAACAGCUGGCUUUUAAAGGUGCCGGCACCAUCUGCCGGGCCGCUACCAGACCUCAUAAAAAUAGAACAGGCCUAACAGGAUAUAUACACCUUUGCUGUGGCUGCUACCUUGCAGGAGUGUGCAGUUGGACAGUUCUUGUAUCAAAAGCAUGAACAGGACUGUUUUGCCUGUGGAGAGAAAAAGACUCCAAAGAUAGAGAUUCCAAUGUCAAUUACUUUGACUCAUUUAACUGAUCGGAGUGAUAUUGGUCUAGUCUCUUAAGUUUAAUUUCAGCAUAUAUAAGGAUGGGGACAGCUACUGAGAGGAGAAUGAGAGACACUAUGGUAGUUAUUAUUGUCUUCCCCAGUGUCAGAUCUUAAAAACCUGAGGAGCCUUCAUCAUCCUGUAAUGAUUUGAUUGGUUCUAUAAUAUGCAGCGUGUAUUUAAUGUGUGUGAAGAUGGAAACAACUGUUUGGAGGAAACUAGAGACAAUUAGAUAAACAAUGAAGAUCUCCAGUAGACUUGCUUUGAAAUCUGUAUUUCUUUAAAUCUUUUUUUUUAAAACUGUUUUGUUCUGUUUUGAUAUGUUUGGUCUUGCCCUCUUUGAGAUAAAAAACAAGUGUGUAGGACUGAUAACCACAUUACUGAGUUUUUAUUGGAUCAUUGAGCAAAACUAUUGGCAGUGUCACUGUUUAAAUGUCAUUUUGCAUGCUUUAAUUUUGUAGCCUGAACAGCUAUUUCUGGGAUGACAGUGUAUAACUUAUUAACUGUUGAUUUCUUACCAUUUAUUUUUCUGUAAUGCUGUAUUAAGAUCACUAUAAGACAGAUAGUAAAAAAUUGCCUUUCUUGUGCCAUGCACCUCCCAGUUCCACACUUUGGGGUUAAUCCUAGAGGACUUAUUCCCAAUGCAUUAUGGCAAAUGGAUGUCACCCACAUUCCUGAGUUUGACAAUCUUAAAAAUGUUCAUGUAACUAUAGAUACCUUUAGUGAUUUCAUUUAUACCUCUCCCCAGACUGGCAAAGCUACCAAAUGUUAUUAGCCAUAUGUUAACUACCUUAUCAGUUCUGAGAUGCCCACAACAAUUAAAGACUGAUAAUGGUCCAGGCUAUGCUAGUUCUGCCUUUGCUCGUUUCUGUCAACAUCUUAAUAUUGAUCAUAUAAAAGGCAUACCUUAUAACCCUCAAGGUCAAGGCAUAGUUAAAGGGCGCAACUCUCCCUAAAACUCACUGUUGAUAAAAUAGAAAGGGGGGAGUGGUGCUCCACAAGGGGGACACCUAAAGGUGUUCUAUCGCAUGCCUUAUUCAUCCUUAAUUUUUUAAAUUUGGAUGCUUCUGGACAGUCAGCAGCCACGCGUUUUUGGCAUUCUGAAACACAAAAGCAAUUUGCUUCUGUACUAUGGAGAGACCCCCUGAUUAAUUCAUGGCAUGGCCCUGACCCCGUUCUCAUAUGGAGACGCGGUUCAGUUUGUGUUUACUCUCAACAAGAUAGAGAGGCUAGAUGGCUACCUGAGCGCCUCAUAAAACAAGUAGACAGUUCUUCAAAGACCCCAUGCGACGCCCAGGAAUAAUGUCAUUUCCUGAGGCACAAUCCCCUGUGUUCUCUUACAGGUGACACAACUCCCCAGAGCCCUGUGCUGCCUACUCAGCCUCCUCCUUGAGCCAUACCACACCCAUGGUGGACUGAGAUGCCUGCCAAACAGACUACAACUGCUGAAAGCCAUGCAUAGAACCCCCAGUGACUGCGGAAGAGGCUCUUCUCAGUCUGGAGGAACACAAACCAGCCAAAUAGACUGCGUCUGGUGUUAUGUGAGGCAAGCUCCAAGACAUAGAAGAACGACUUCAACAGUGACAACAACAAAUGGCUGCCAACCCCUUCUCCUCAAUGUGUGUGUGGGGGGGAGCUUUUCCCUUACCUAGCGCCCCUUUUGUGUCCCCUAGCUGCCCUAUUGCUUCUCCUUUCUGUGAGUCCUUGUAUUUUUCAGAGGAUUAUGACGCUCAUUAAUAACCGGAUAGAUGCAUUUAUGGCAAGACCAUUCAGGUACACUGUCAUCAGCAGGAGAUGGCAGAUCAACAAACCUACCGGGAAGGAAUUCCCACGAGUGGCCCAUAUGGCGAUGCGGCCUAACUGCCCUGGGGCAAUGGACAGGCAGCCAGAGACGGGCAGCUAGGACAUACAUGCCACACCACCAGCCGCCUAAGACAGGCACAGGACCAACUGCUGUCCCGCAAGCCCAUGACGGGUAAGGCCUGGUUGGGUUCAUGUAAUGAAGUCCUUGACCUAAGACAGAUGCUGUCCUCACAGGGCCUGCCAUACUCCUGAUUAAAUAAUAUAGAAAGGGAGGAGAUGUAGGGAGCCGCGCGACAGCCCCAUUGCUGCCUCCCUGCCUCUCUCUCUCUCUCCUAUGGGCACAAUGCGUCUGCCUACAUUAACCAUAAUCCUCUCCUGCUUACGUCACAUACCCGGAUGUGACGAUGACCCUGUUGUAUUCAUCUUCGUAGCCUCUUCCUGUCCCACCAGCCCGCCCUUGGCCUAUAAAAGAUGUGAUCACUUCCAGAAUAAACGGGGCUUGAUGGGAGUCUCUCGACUUGCCUCAGUCUCUC